CUACGUGCCAGCAGCCGCGGUAAUACGUAGGGUGCGAGCGUUGUCCGGAAUUAUUGGGCGUAAAGAGCUUGUAGGCGGUUUGUCGCGUCUGCUGUGAAAGGCCGGGGCUUAACCCCGUGUAUUGCAGUGGGUACGGGCAGACUAGAGUGCAGUAGGGGAGACUGGAAUUCCUGGUGUAGCGGUGGAAUGCGCAGAUAUCAGGAGGAACACCGAUGGCGAAGGCAGGUCUCUGGGCUGUAACUGACGCUGAGAAGCGAAAGCAUGGGGAGCGAACAGGAUUAGAUACCCUGGUAGUCCAUGCCGUAAACGUUGGGCACUAGGUGUGGGGAACAUUCCACGUUUUCCGCGCCGUAGCUAACGCAUUAAGUGCCCCGCCUGGGGAGUACGGCCGCAAGGCUAAAACUCAAAGAAAUUGACGGGGGCCCGCACAAGCGGCGGAGCAUGCGGAUUAAUUCGAUGCAACGCGAAGAACCUUACCAAGGCU
rnacentral:rRNA from 1 species